UACGUAGGGUGCAAGCGUUGUCCGGAAUCAUUGGGCGUAAAGCGCGCGUAGGUGGCUUCGUAAGUCCGUUGUGAAAGUCCGGGGCUCAACCCCGGGAGGCGGGCGGAUACUGUCGGGCUAGAGUCCGGAAGAGGCGAGUGGAAUUCCUGGUGUAGCGGUGAAAUGCGCAGAUAUCAGGAGGAACACCAAUGGCGAAGGCAGCUCGCUGGGACGGUACUGACGCUGAGGCGCGAAAGCGUGGGGAGCAAACAGG
rnacentral:rRNA from 1 species